rnacentral:rRNA from 1 species
GAAGCUUUUCAGUAGUUUACUACAGAAAAUGACUGAGCGGCGAACGGGUGAGUAACGCGUGAGCAAUCUACCUUAGUUACAGGGAUAGCCCGAGGAAACUCGGAUUAAUACCUGAUAUUCUUUAUUUCUCGCAUGAGAAUAAAAGGAAAGGUCAGCCGAACUAAGAUGAGCUCGCGUUCUAUCAGCUAGUUGGUGAGGUAAAAGCUUACCAAGGCUACGACGGAUAGCUGGUCUGAGAGGACGAUCAGCCACACUGGGACUGAGACACGGCCCAGACUCCUACGGGAGGCUGCAGCAGGGAAUAUUGUGCAAUGAACGAAAGUUUGACACAGCGACACCGCGUGUGGGAUGACGGAUCUAGGUUUGUAAACCACUUUCAGGAGGGAAGAAAAUGACGGUACCUCCACAAGAAGCCCCGGCCAACUACGUGCCAGCAGCCGCGGUAAUACGUAGGGGGCGAGCGUUGUCCGGAUUUAUUGGGCGUAAAGAGCUCGUAGGCGGUUCAACAAGUCGGUCGUGAAAGUUCAGGGCUCAACCCUGAAAUGUCGAUCGAUACUGUUGNGACUA